GUGGGGUAUGUUGGUGGGGACAGACGAGGAAGGAUGGCGAAGAAAGCGAGGGAAUAGUGUGAUCAUGUUCGAUCGUACAUUAAAGUUUGAGCACAAGCUCAUUGUGGAUUAAAAACUAAGUCUCAUCUUUAAGAUUCAAACAACACAGGUUGUAGAAAUGCAAAUGAUUGGUCAAGAGUAGAAGACCUACCCCUCUCCUGCCACUCCCGACGUCUUGGUCCAUAGGUCGCGUUCCGGGCGGAUGGUGGUGGAAGUUCGGCGUCGUCUGUGCAUCAGUGGCUUUUAGUAGCCUAGAUUUACAGAAUAUCUUUUUAAAGAGAGAUCGCGAGACAAACGAAGAUGACUGGUGAAAAGAUCAUCAGAUUAGGAAACCUGCAUCCUGACCUGCCUGCCCCUUGGAUUCUCCUACCGCCUAGCCCUGCCUGUACUGUCGCUUUUGUGGACUGAUCACCCGGUAUUCCGACCUGCCUGCCUGUCCCUGGAUUCUCCUACCGUCUGCCCCUGCCUGUACUGUUGCCUUCGCGGACUGAUCACCCGGUAUCGUGACCUGCCUGCCUGCUUCUGGUUUUUCCUCUCUGCCGAGCCCUGCCUGUACCUUUGCCUACGUGGACUGAUCUCCUGAUUUCUGAACCUUA
ensembl:lncRNA